rnacentral:lncRNA from 1 species
CGGGUUGCAAUACCACUUGAUAACAUUAGCCGAGUCCCCUCAAUCAAGCUCUUAGGUGAUUUUGUAUCAUCUCCAUUUCCUGUUUUCCAUCUCUUAAAAAAGAAAAAAAUCCGUCCUUGUGUUGUUGAUCUUGUAAAAUCCCUUGCUUGUAUCAGGCUGUACAGGUACUUGCCUUCUAUUUCCCCAUAUGCCUUUUGCUUUCAUCUCUUUACUUCCUCUUCUCC